UUUGAUAAAGAUAUUGGUGUCAAAGGAGGAGAGACCAUAUCUUGAGGUACCUCUGAAUUCUGAUUAGUUUCCAGAGGCUUUGAGAUAUUCAUUGCCAUUGCUCCAAGACUGCUGGAUGGUAUGGAGAAACUGCGAGUGACAGCCUGAGAAGGUAUUGGCAGUGGAGAUGCUGAAUUUGACAUCAAUGAUUUACCUGUAGGACGUACAUGACCUUUGGGCACCAAAGGAGCUGAAUGACCAAUCAAACUCAAAGGCCUUGAAGAUUUGGAAGCUGAACUGGCAGGCGGUCUAGGAAGCUCAUGAAGUUCACUUAUUUUAGGAGAGGACACAAAAGUAGGGGAAGCUGUUGGAGAUACCUUUGGAGAUACUUUAGGAGAUACCUUCGGAGAUACUUUAGGAGAUGAUGGUAGUUGCACUGUUGGAUUUCGCAAAAGGGGUCCUGAUAACAAUCCAGGAGGUUCCAUUGAAACUGGCUUGGUAGGCCAUGACUUACUUGUAAUAGGACCUGAAAAGGCAUAUCUUUUAAUUUUCUUAGAAUCUGACUGUGAAAUGAAGAACCCAUCAGCCAGAGGAGGAGGUAAUUGAGUGGAAGCAGUAUUUUUGUUCCUUUCCCUGAGCACUGACUGUGCAUUUUUAACAGUGGAUCCACAAAAUUUACCAUCUCCUGU
rnacentral:misc_RNA from 1 species